ACUCUGUUUCUAUAUGUAACUUCUGAGUAAAACCAUAAAUAAAUCAAAACUUUCAACAACGGAUCUCUUGGUUCUGGCAUCGAUGAAGAACGCAGCAAAAUGCGAUAAGUAAUGUGAAUUGCAGAAUUCAGUGAAUCAUCGAAUCUUUGAACGCACAUUGCGCCCGCCAGUAUUCUGGCGGGCAUGCCUGUUCGAGCGUCAUUUCAACCCUCAAGCACAGCUUGGUGUUGGGACUCGCGUUAAUUCGCGUUCCUCAAAUUGAUUGGCGGUCACGUCGAGCUUCCAUAGCGUAGUAGUAAAACCCUCGUUACUGGUAAUCGUCGCGGCCACGCCGUUAAACCCCAACUUCUGAAUGUUGACCUCGGAUCAGGUAGGAAUACCCGCUGAACUUAAGCAUAUCAAUAAGCGGAGGAA
rnacentral:rRNA from 1 species